GUCCAUGGAUGGCGCUGAACGCAAGUACAGCCCAAAUUGCGCACCAUGUUGUAUUUGUUUCAUCGGGCCUGAGCGAAACCCCUUCCAAGAGAUGCUGUCCGGAGCGCCUGGUCGUUAUAGUGAUGUACUGCUGUUUCCGUUGAACAUCCUCUGCUGCUCCGAGCUGGCGAGCCGGCAGGUCAGCCAGGCGGACAGCGUGCAGGAGGAGAUGCCUGCAGGACAGACAGACAGAAGACACAGCGUCCGGAAUGGAGGAGCCCCAACAGAGAUUCAGUAGUAUUCAUUUCAUUCCUUCAUUCAUGAAUAGAAUUUUCCAGAGGAAUGAUGGAUUUUGUGUUUGGAAGCAAUCUAAACUUAACAAGGACAUGUCUUUGGGAGGUGAACAGGAUUUCGUGUGUGUCGGCGGCUGUCAGUACAGCCCUCGUAAGCGGUCGCUCGACGGCACGCACGUCAUUCACCAAACUGACAGCGGGACCGGCUACCAGUUACCCUCCUCUCCCUCCCCUCCUCCUGACAGCCCCCUAUGCAUUGCUCCGGUCUCUCUCUUUAACGUCUUCUCUCAUCAUCGCUGGUGUCGGGCCCUCCGCAUCUCUCCCCUCUGUUAGGGUUCUCCGCUGCUCUCUCUGUCGGUCUGUGGGUGCUGGGGGGUGCGCCUGCAGAUUCCUCCCCGGUACAUCAUCUGCAGCUGUUCUUGCUUCACAUCUGUGGUUCAUCUUCUCAUCCCAAAGCAGUAUAUCCACUCCGGUUUUCAAGCCACUCUUCGCCAUUCCAUGCUCCUCAGCCCCUCUGUCAGGACUCAGCUGGACCCGUACCGGAUUCCCACCAUUCUCCAGCCCCUCGGAUUCUCAAUAAAUUCCUCUGUACCGUCAAUCUUCUCCUGCCUACCCUGUGUGGUGCAUUUGGGUCAACUACCUCUCCCCUGAGAUCAUUACAGCUGGCACGCAGCCUGUGGCCUGUGGCCUGUGGCCUGUGGCGUGUGGCGUGGGGGUUCACUGGUGUCUCCGGGUACCUAGACAGGCCAGCGUCAUGGCCGCCAGAUGGACCGAGUGCAUGGCGGUGUCCGGCCUCUUGCUCAGCGCACGCACAAACUGGAAGUUGAGGAUCCCCCCGAUCAGACCGCAGAUACAGCAGGCGGAAAACACAAUCAUCUGGGGAAGGGUAGAGACAGACAGGUGGACAGACAGGUGGGAAGACGGAUGGACAAACAGAAAGACAGAAAGGGGAAAAGAAUGACAGAUUUGUGGACGGAAAGAUGUACAGAGGGAUAGGCAGAUGGGCAGAUGGGCCGAUUGAAAGACCAACAGACAGAUGGACUGAGAAAAACCGGCCAAUAGACACAGACCAAUAUAGAGAUAGACAGACAGACAGACAGACAGACAGACAGACAGACAGACAG